AUUGAACGCUGGCGGCAGGCCUAACACAUGCCAGUCGAGCGGAUGAAGGGAGCUUGCUCCUGGAUUCAACGGCCGACGGGUGAGUAAUUCCUAGGAAUCUGCCUGGUCGUGGGGGAUAACGCCCGGAAACGGGCGCUAAUACCGCAUACGUCCACAGGGAUAAACAGAGGGAUCUUGUGACCUCACGCUAUCAGAUGAACCUAGGUGGGAUUAGCUAGUUGGUUGGGUAAAGGCCUACCAAGGCGACGAUCAGUAACUGGCCACAGAGGAUGACUGGUCAAACUGGAAUGGGGAAACGGUCCAGACUCCUACGGGAGGAAGCAGUGGGGAAUAUUGGCCAAUGGGCGAAAGCCUGCUCCAGCCAUGCCGCGUGGGGGAAGAAGGUCUUCGGAUUGUAAAGCACUUUAAGUUGGGAGGAAGGGCAGUAAGUUAAUACCUUGCUGUUUUGACGUUACCAACAGAAUAAGCAACGGCUAACUUCGUG
rnacentral:rRNA from 1 species